rnacentral:rRNA from 1 species
UAAUACGUAGGGUGCGAGCGUUGUCCGGAAUUAUUGGGCGUAAAGAGCUUGUAGGCGGUUUGUCGCGUCUGCAGUGAAAAUCCGGGGCUCAACCCCGGACUUGCUGUGGGUACGGGCAGACUAGAGUGUGGUAGGGGAGACCGGAAUUCCUGGUGUAGCGGUGGAAUGCGCAGAUAUCAGGAGGAACACCGAUGGCGAAGGCAGGUCUCUGGGCCACAACUGACGCUGAGAAGCGAAAGCAUGGGGAGCGAACAGG